rnacentral:rRNA from 1 species
UACGAAGGGGGCUAGCGUUGCUCGGAAUCACUGGGCGUAAAGCGCACGUAGGCGGCUUUCUAAGUCAGGGGUGAAAUCCUGGAGCUCAACUCCAGAACUGCCCUUGAUACUGGAGAGCUUGAGUUCGGGAGAGGUGAGUGGAACUGCGAGUGUAGAGGUGAAAUUCGUAGAUAUUAGGAAGAACACCAGUGGCGAAGGCGGCUCACUGGCCCGGUACUGACGCUGAGGCGCGAAAGCGUGGGGAGCAAACAGG